AAGCAGGAGAGUACCUCAGAUUUAAAUGUACAGUAGAAGUGGAGCGGAUUUAAUAAUGUUUUAUUAAUCACCGUAUACUUGUAAACUGUGUACGUGUUAGUAUGGGGUCCACCAUAAAUAAAGAAGCUGAAGUUAAACCAGUCAGUGUUUUCCUAAGACGUUCACUUAAAGAAUACAACGAGGGGUCUGAUAGGAUGGAAGCCAUAUUUGGAAUAUGGAGAAAUACCGCGUAAUAGGAGAACGGGCACUGACGGAGAUAAAUCAGCGCUUAAUAAUGAAUGACGCUAAUCCCCGGACAACGUUACCAAAAACAUAUCCCACUGUGCAAAUUCAGAAGAGCUUUUUUACCGGAGUACAGGAUCUGUAUUGGAUAAGUGUACUGAUCAAAAAGAAUUAAAUAUAUUACAGCAAUAUA